AACGAACGCUGGCGGCAGGCCUAACACAUGCAAGUCGAGCGCGCCCUUCGGGGUGAGCGGCGGACGGGUGAGUAACGCGUGGGAACGUGCCCUUUUCUACGGAAUAGCCUCGGGAAACUGAGAGUAAUACCGUAUACGCCCUUUGGGGGAAAGAUUUAUCGGAAAAGGAUCGGCCCGCGUUGGAUUAGGUAGUUGGUGGGGUAAUGGCCUACCAAGCCGACGAUCCAUAGCUGGUUUGAGAGGAUGAUCAGCCACACUGGGACUGAGACACGGCCCAGACGACGAGGGGAGGCGGGAGGGGGAAAGCAGCAACGGGGGGGGCGAGGCGGCACUAGAGGGGCGGGGGGAGGGAGGAAGGCCGUAGGUGAGUAGCGUGCGGUCAGCGGGGAAGAAAGUGAGCGGAGCAGGAGGAGAGGCCCCGUCUAGCCCGGAGCGAGGAGCCGGGGUAAUGAGGGGAGGCGAACACGGAUGAAC
rnacentral:rRNA from 1 species